UUCUAAUUAAGGUAUGUACAUUGUUUACUUAGAUGUAAUGCUACUGUACACUUAAUUUAUAGUAUAUUGUAAACAUAACUUCUAUAUGCACUGAGAAACCAGAAAUUUAUGUGACUCACUUUGUGGAUAUAUUCACUUUAUUAUAGUGGUAUGGAAUUAAGACUACAGUAUCUCAGAGGUGUGCCUGUAUUUACAUAUGUGUGGACAGAGUAAGGCACUAUGGUUUGAAUACUUGUGUCCCCUCUGAAAUCCAUGUUGAAACUUCAUCCCCAAUGCAACACUAUUAAGAAGUGUGGCCUUUGAGAGGUGAUUUGGUCAUGAAGGCUCUGCCCUCAUUAGUGCUCUUAUAAAAGGGCUAGAGAGAACUAGCUCAGCCCCCUUUUCACUUCCACCCUUCUGCCAUGUCAGGACACAACACUUGUUUCCUCUGGAGGAACCAGCAGCAAGGUGCCAUCUUGGAAGCAGUGAACAGGCUUUCAGCAGACACCAAACCCACUAGUGCCCUGGUCUUGGACUUCCACCCUCUAGAACUCCCAGGGUAACCAGCAGCUGAAAUCACAAGAACUUAUCUACCAGCCCACAACAUAAUUUACUUCAUUAGAAAGUUUUCCACAAGCUGGCAUUGGAAACUUGGGCUUUAGAAGUGAAAGAAAUCAAUUUAUCCCCUGCUCUGAGCCAUCCUGCCUUACGUGGCUGAUUUCUAAACCACCACACAGGCCUUGUUACAUUCUCCCUGCCGAGCAUCCUUCCAACUUGUGUAUAAUAAGGAGAUGAAGUUGAAAGAAGACGUCAAUGAACAUAGUAGUUUUUUUAAUCUAAAAAAUACAAACAGGCUUUAAAAGACCAUAUGUAAGUCUUCUUUAGUUUCCAAACCACAAUAGAUGUACUAGGCAUGAUUAUUCUAAGGUCCCUGCAAUAAAUGAAAUCCGAGGUAGUUCCAACAAAUGAUGAAUUCAUGGUGGAAAAAUAAUUUCACUCAUUUGCUGUCUUAUCAUAGGUUUUGUUUUCUCUCCAAAAAAUACAUAGUUGGGGUGAGGGGGCAAUACAGAAAAAAAAGAAACGGGGGAUGAUUGCAUUGUUUACAAAGCAAAAAGGAAAUUAUUUGGUUCUGUGAAUGCAAAAUGUUUUGACAGUAUUUCCGAUUUUGCAGGACAUCUGGUGUAGAUGAUAUCGAGGGCAUUAGAAGUAAAUAGCUAAAUUCUGUUAUUAGUUCUGUUACUAUUCUACCAUAUGGAAAUAUUUUUAUUUUUCCCCUCAGUUUAAUUCAUUGUUGACUUGGGAGAGAAAAAAUCCAAUUAAAAAUGACAUGUGAACUGCUUGUCACCCAACUCUUGGUUGCCUAACAUUGUGGCCUAUUUUUUGUAUAGAGACCCAGUUCUUGAAUUAGCCUCUAUAAAUAUGUUUCCAUGUAUUGGCUUGAAUUUUGUAUAGAAAUCAGAGUUGUAAAAAAUUAAAGGUCUGGAAGACUCAGUCUUGUUAAAAUGUCAAUUCACUCCAAAUUAAUUUAUGUAUAGGUUCAGUGCAAACCUAAUAAAAAUCUUAGUAAGUUGUUUUGUGGAUAAUGACAAGCUGAUUCUAAAACUCAUAUUUAAAAGCAAAGAAACCUCAAUAGCCAAAGCAAUUUUGAUAAAAUAACAAAGAUAGAACCCUCACACUACAUAAUUUCAAGACUUACUGUGAAGCCACGUUAAUCAAGACAGCAUGGUGUUGGUGAACGCAUGAAUCAAACUGAUGGGGUCUAGACUCAAUGACUUCCCAAUAAUAAUGAACAAACCUACAGCCCAGAUAUCUGUUUCUAAAUGCCAUUUUACAGUAGAAGAAACCAGACCUCCUUGUAGAAUUAGUUGAAUCCCAGGACGGGACAGGGAAAACUUAAGAUAAGCCUAGAGCAUCUAGUGGUGCCAGAAAGUAAGGAAGUGCUCAAAAAAGAAUGGGGGCAUGUCCAAAGCUCACAGGAGCCAACAUGAAAGAGCUCCCAAUGUCCCAAGUCUGAGCAAGUUAAUGAUAGAUUAUUUUUAUCAAGAGAAUACAAUAAGCAUCCAUGAGUCUAUGACAUAAAGAAAUGAAUGAAUGAAUGAAUGGGAGAUAACAGCUCUCCCAAUGAAUAAAUGUAGAAAGAAGAUGGAAAUAUGAAUUCACCAAUAGAAUGCCACAGUAAUAAUUGUUGCAGGCAAGAUGUACCAACGAAAGCCAAAAUUCGUGGGUAAAACUUUGAGGAUAAAGAUUAUAUGUGCCUAGUGCAAAAUUAUCUCCUUCAAGAUACCCAUUAAUUGCUAAAGGAAAAAUAGUAAUUUUAAAAAUGGAAACACCUGGCAGAUGCCAUCUCAGCCAAGUGAUCAAGAUUAACAUCACCAGUAAAAAGACAUACUGACAUCCCAUACUUCCUGAUUUGAUACACUAAGAAGGGCUUAUCGUUUCUGUGGUACUCUUGGCCAACAAUGCGCAAGUAACAUUUAUUCAUUGAAACACAUUAGGCAGAACCAAAUUGCAGGACAUUCCUCAAAAUAGCUGUGCAAUACUCUUCAAAAGUGUCAGAUCCUGGAAGACAAAGAGAUACUGAGGAACCAUCACAGAGUGGGAGAGGACAUGGAGACAUAAAAACUAACUGUAAUGUGGAAUCCUACAUUGGAUCAUGGACCAGAAAGAGAACACUGAUGGGAAGACUGAUGAAAUCUGACCCUGGACAGAAGUGAACACCAAAUAUAGGAAAAGAGAGUAAACUCCAGGUGUGUGCACGUAAGUAUGCAUGUGUUGUGUGCAUGGGUUGGAGGAGUGAAGCCUGGACUACAGAAAUAUUAUUCUAUAUUUAGAAUAGCAGGCUGAUUGAAAUACCCCAGCUUUGUGCAGAGCUCUCAACUAAAGUUUGCACUAAGGAACAACCAAAAUAACUAGACACUGGAGGAAAUCUGAAAUGGGAAACAGAAAGCUCAAGAUACAAACUUCUAUCCCAUAGCAAAGAGAGAUAAUUCCAGUAACUUAAGGACACUUCAACCCUCCAGUUAGUCCCUCCGAAAAAUAUAAAAAGAUUUUUUGCAUUCAUAAAGCAAGAAUAGGUGAGCUUUCACAAAAUCAAGUUUGCUCAGAUUCUAAAAGGUUCAAAUGAAGAGUUGGAAAAUACAUUUAAGGGAAUCUAUAAGAACAACAACAACAAAAAAACCCUGAGACCAUGAUUAUGGAAGACAUGAUAAGGGACAUAGAGAUGAAAUCAGAAGGUCUCCAGCAAAAACGGGUGGCUGCCUACUCAACAUCAACUCUCUGCUUCCUUCUUAUUAACAUUUAGGGACUUCUGAUGGUUUCUCCUUAUCCCCUUCACCCUUCCCUCAACUCUCUGACUGGGCCACAGGAAGCAUAGAUGGAGAAAGAACAACCAGGUUGGGAUCUGAGGGUGAAAGCUACAUGCUAAAGAUGAUGACUCCGGAAGAGGGACUGACCCUGGAUUUUUACAACAUCAUGGAAUUGCCACACCAGACAAAGACUUCUCCCCUAUAGGUUUCUAAUUACAUGAAAAUUUAAAACCAUAUUUUGUUGAAUGAGCCACUUCAGUCAUAUUUCUGUUUAUCUGGAAGCAGAAAUAAUGGUAUCUAGAAUAAUCAGAUAUUAUCUUAAAAUAAUACCAUCUAAUACAACAUUCAAGAUCCAACUAAUAGAAAAGAAUAAAGAAGGAAGAAAAGGGGGAAGAGAGGGAGAAAGGAAAUAGAUGAGGGAGUCUCAAAGAACAAUAAAAACAAUUUCCAAAAGAUAAAGGGAUGCAAGUGUCUUAUAUUUGGAAAACUGUCCCAAGGGCUGGCGCAGUUAAUCACAUCUCCAUAUUUUGUACAACAAGAAAACAAGACAUCAUCUUAAAAGGUCCCAGGGGGGAAAAGAAAAGCAAGUAAUACAGACAAAUAUAAAAAUAAAGUUGAAGAAAAAUUUUAAACUAGAAAUUGUAGCCAGAAUGUCUAAUAAAACAUUUUCAGACAUACAUGGAUUUAGAAAGUUUGUAUUUCCUAUAACCUUCCUUAGAAGUCACAUCAGAAUGUACUUUGGCAAAACAGUAUAAACCAAAAAAAAAAAAAAAAGGCAAUUCAAAAAAUAUUCAACAAAUCCAGAAAAGUAGUGAAAAA
rnacentral:lncRNA from 1 species